rnacentral:rRNA from 2 species
GCUCUCUGCUGUGAAAAACGGGGUUAAUACCGCAUAACAACUUGGACCGCAUGGUCCGAGCUUGAAAGAUGGCUUCGGCUAUCACUUUUGGAUGGUCCCGCGGCGUAUUAGCUAGAUGGUGGGGUAACGGCUCACCAUGGCAAUGAUACGUAGCCGACCUGAGAGGGUAAUCGGCCACAUUGGGACUGAGACACGGCCCAAACUCCUACGGGAGGCAGCAGUAGGGAAUCUUCCACAAUGGACGAAAGUCUGAUGGAGCAACGCCGCGUGAGUGAAGAAGGGUUUCGGCUCGUAAAACUCUGUUGUUAAAGAAGAACAUAUCUGAGAGUAACUGUUCAGGUAUUGACGGUAUUUAACCAGAAAGCCACGGCUAACUACGUGCCAGCAGCCGCGGUAAUACGUAGGUGGCAAGCGUUGUCCGGAUUUAUUGGGCGUAAAGCGAGCGCAGGCGGUUUUUUAAGUCUGAUGUGAAAGCUUCGGCUCAACCGAAGAAGUGCAUCGAAACUUGAAUCUGAGA